rnacentral:tRNA from 1 species
GUCUUUCUAGUAUGAAUUAGCACAAGUGACUUCCAAUCACUCAGUCUUGGUUAAACCCCAAGGAAAGAUA